rnacentral:piRNA from 1 species
UGAAAUGUUUAAUGUGUCUUGUGAAUACUGA